rnacentral:snoRNA from 1 species
GAGCUAUGAUGUAAAUAAAUUUGUCUGAAGUACAAAAAAAUUGUAUUUCAUGAAGAUCUCUACACUUGAACUGAGCUCA